rnacentral:rRNA from 1 species
UACGUAGGGGGCAAGCGUUGUCCGGAAUCAUUGGGCGUAAAGCGCGCGUAGGCGGCCCGGUAAGUCCGCUGUGAAAGUCAAAGGCUCAACCUUUGAAUGUCAGCGGAUACUGCCGGGCUAGAGUCCGGAAGAGGCGAGUGGAACUCCUGGUGUAGCGGUGGAAUGCGCAGAUAUCAGGAAGAACACCAACGGCGAAGGCAGCUCGCUGGGACGGAACUGACGCUGGAGGCGACGAAAGCGUGGGGAGCGAACAGG